UGGGGAAUAUUGCACAAUGGGGGAAACCCUGAUGCAGCGACGCCGCGUGAGCGAAGAAGGCUUUCGAGUCGUAAAGCUCUGUCCUAUGAGAAGAUAAUGACGGUAUCAUAGGAGGAAGCCCUGGCUAAAUACGUGCCAGCAGCCGCGGUAAUACGUAUGGGGCGAGCGUUGUCCGGAAUUAUUGGGCGUAAAGGGUACGUAGGCGGUUUUUUAAGUCAGGUGUCAAAGCGUGGAGCUUAACUCCAUUAAGCACUUGAAACUGAAAGACUUGAGUGAAGGAGAGGAAAGUGGAAUUCCUAGUGUAGCGGUGAAAUGCGUAGAUAUUAGGAGGAAUACCGGUGGCGAAAGCGGCUUUUUGGCCUGCAACUGACACUGAGGCGCGAAAGCGUGGGGAGCAAACAGG
rnacentral:rRNA from 1 species